GAUGAAGAACGUAGCGAAAUGCGAUAAGUAAUGUGAAUUGCAGAAUUCAGUGAAUCAUCGAAUCUUUGAACGCACAUUGCGCCCCCUGGUAUUCCGGGGGGCAUGCCUGUUCGAGCGUCAUUUCACCACUCAAGCCUCGCUUGGUAUUGGGCAACGCGGUCCGCCGCGUGCCUCAAAUCGACCGGCUGGGUCUUCUGUCCCCUAAGCGUUGAGGAAACUAUUCGCUAAAGGGUGUUCGGGAGGCUACGCCGUAAAACAACCCCAUUUCUAAGGUUGACCUCGGAUCAGGUAGGGAUACCCGCUGAACUUAAGCAUAUCAAUAAGCGGAGGA
rnacentral:misc_RNA from 1 species